CCGCUUGAUGACGAGGAGAUGAUGUCUUAUAUUCACGCUGGACUUGAUGAUGACUAUGAGCCUGUUGUGUCCAAUCUGGUUGGAAGGGCAGAGCCGGCUCCUAUCACAGAAAUCUAUUCUCAGCUUCUAAGCUUUGAAA
rfam:Oryza nivara chromosome 5, whole genome shotgun sequence.